UACGGGGGGGGCAAGCGUUGUUCGGAAUUACUGGGCGUAAAGGGCUCGUAGGUGGCCAACUAAGUCAGACGUGAAAUCCCUCGGCUUAACCGGGGAACUGCGUCUGAUACUGGAUGGCUUGAGUUUGGGAGAGGGACGCGGAAUUCCAGGUGUAGCGGUGAAAUGCGUAGAUAUCAGGAGGAACACCGGUGGCGAAGGCGGUGGUCUGGGCCGGCACUGACGCUGAGGAGCGAAAGCGUGGGGAGCAAACAGG
rnacentral:rRNA from 1 species